AAGGGGCCAUGAAAUAAAGGCUGUCCCAAAAUUCACGGAAGAAGUAAUUUUGAUAGGAAACACAGGUUUAUAA